CCUACGGGUGGCAGCAGUGAGGAAUAUUGGUCAAUGGGCGAGAGCCUGAACCAGCCAAGUCGCGUGAGGGAGGACGGUCCUACGGAUUGUAAACCUCUUUUGUCAGGGAACAAGGAGGGCCACGAGUGGUCCGGUGAGUGUACCUGAAGAAAAAGCAUCGGCUAACUCCGUGCCAGCAGCCGCGGUAAUACGGAGGAUGCGAGCGUUAUCCGGAUUUAUUGGGUUUAAAGGGUGCGCAGGCGGAUGGGUCAGUCCAGCGGUAAAAUUGGGGGGCCCAACCUCGCCGAGCCGUUGAAACGGGUAGUCUAGAGUUGGAGAGAAGUAUGCGGAAUGCGCGGUGUAGCGGUGAAAUGCAUAGAUAUCACGCAGAACUCCGAUUGCGAAGGCAGCAUACCGGCGCCCAACUGACGCUGAGGCACGAAAGCGUGGGUAUCGAACAGGAUUAGAUACCCUGGUAGUC
rnacentral:rRNA from 1 species